UAACUGAGGAACGUGGUAUGCUAGAUAAGCUUAAAGUUAGGAAACUCCGGUGCAAUUCCGGGACUGUGCCGCAGCUGUAAAAGGUUUACUUGAGUCAGAAUGCUAACUUAAGCGGUGUCUAA
rnacentral:ncRNA from 18 species